rnacentral:rRNA from 1 species
GAUGAACGCUAGCUACAGGCUUAACACAUGCAAGUCGAGGGGAAACGACAUCGAAAGCUUGCUUUUGGUGGGCGUCGACCGGCGCACGGGUGAGUAACGCGUAUCCAACCUGCCCACCACUUGGGGAUAACCUUGCGAAAGUAAGACUAAUACCCAAUGAUAUCCCACGAAGGCAUCCGAAUGGGAUUAAAGAUUUAUCGGUGAUGGAUGGGGAUGCGUCUGAUUAGCUUGUUGGCGGGGUAACGGCCCACCAAGGCAACGAUCAGUAGGGGUUCUGAGAGGAAGGUCCCCCACAUUGGAACUGAGACACGGACCAAACUCCUACGGGAGGCAGCAGUGAGGAAUAUUGGUCAAUGGGCGAAAGCCUGAACCAGCCAAGUCGCGUGAGGGAAGACGGUCCUACGGAUUGUAAACCUCUUUUGUCGGGGAGCAAAGGGGCCAUUCAUGGCAGGAUGAGCGUACCCGAGAAAAAGCAUCGGCUAACUCCGUG